rnacentral:rRNA from 1 species
AGCAGCCGCGGUAAUUCCAGCUCCAAUAGCGUAUAUUAAAGUUGUUGCAGUUAAAAAGCUCGUAGUUGAAUUUCGGGAUCAGUACGCUGAUCGUGCCUUUGGUAUGUACUGGUGUCACUGAUUCCUCCCUUCUGAAGAACCGUUAUGCCAUUUAUUUGGCGUUGCGGGGAAUCAGGACUGUUACUUUGAAAAAAUUAGAGUGUUUAAAGCAGGCUCGCGCUUGAAUACAUUAGCAUGGAAUAAUGAAAUAGGACGUUUGAUCCUAUUUUGUUGGUUUCUAGGAUCGACGUAAUGAUUAAUAGGGAUAGUUGGGGGCAUUAGUAUUCAAUUGUCAGAGGUGAAAUUCUUGGAUUUAUUGAAGACUAACUACUGCGAAAGCAUUUGCCAAGGAUGUUUUCAUUAAUCAAGAACGAAAGUUAGGGGAUCGAAGACGAUCAGAUACCGUCGUAG